rnacentral:rRNA from 1 species
UACGGAGGGAGCUAGCGUUGUUCGGAAUUACUGGGCGUAAAGCGCACGUAGGCGGCUUUGUAAGUUAGAGGUGAAAGCCUGGAGCUCAACUCCAGAACUGCCUUUAAGACUGCAUCGCUUGAAUCCAGGAGAGGUGAGUGGAAUUCCGAGUGUAGAGGUGAAAUUCGUAGAUAUUCGGAAGAACACCAGUGGCGAAGGGCGGCUCACUGGACUGGUAUUGACGCUGAGGUGGCGAAAAGCGUGGGGAGCAAACAGG